rnacentral:rRNA from 1 species
GAUGAACGCUGGCGGCGUGCCUAAUACAUGCAAGUCGAGCGAACGGACGAGAAGCUUGCUCCUCUGAUAUUAGCGGCGGACGGGUGAGUAACACGUGGAUAACCUACCUAUAAGACUGGGAUAACUUCGGGAAACCGGAGCUAAUACCGGAUAAUAUUUUGAACCGCAUGGUUCAAAAGUGAAAGACGGUCUUGCUGUCACUUAUAGAUGGAUCCGCGCUGCAUUAGCUAGUUGGUAAGGUAACGGCUUACCAAGGCAACGAUGCAUAGCCGACCUGAGAGGGUGAUCGGCCACACUGGAACUGAGACGCGGUCCAGACUCCUACGGGAGGCAGCAGUAGGGAAUCUUCCGCAAUGGGCGAAAGCCUGACGGAGCAGCGCCGCGUGAGUGAUGAAGGUCUUCGGAUCGUAAAACUCUGUUAUUAGGGAAGAACAUAUGUGUAAGUAACUGUGCACAUCUUGACGGUACCUAAUCAGAAAGCCACGGCUAACUACGUG